rnacentral:rRNA from 1 species
AGAGUUUGAUCCUGGCUCAGAACGCAUGCUGGUAGCGUGGAUUAGGCAUGCAAGUCGAACGGGAUCCGGCCGACAGCAAUAUUGGCUGGUGAGAGUGGCGGAUUGGGGAGGAACACGUGAACAACCUGCCCUUGAGUUCGGGAAAACCGCUGGAAACGGCGGCUAAUACCGGAUGUGGCGUCGGGCGACAUCGUCCGAGCGCUAAAGGGGGCCGCAAGGCUCCCGCUCCUGGAGGGGUUCGCGCACCAUCAGCUUGUUGGCGGGGUAACGGCCCACCAAGGCGCACGGUUAGCUGGUCUGAGAGGAUGACCAGCCCCACUGGGACUGAGAUACUGCCCAGACUCCUACAGGAGGCUGCAGUCGAGGAUCAUUUGCAAUGGGCGAAAGCCUGACAAUGCGACGCUGCGUGGAGGAUGAAGGCCCUCGGGUUGUAAACUCCUGUCAUAAGGGAACAGGCGAGAGCACCCAACACGUGCUUUAGUUGAGUGUACCUUAAGAGGAAUUGGCGGCUAACUCUGUGCCAGCAGCCGCGGUAAUACAGAGGCCAAGAGCGUUGUUCGGAUUUACUGGGCGUAAAGGGCGCGUAGGCGGUCGCGUGUGUGGGAUGUGAAAUCUCCGGGCUCAACCCGGAAAGUGCGUCCCAAACUGCGCGGCUUCGAGUGUGGGAGGGGGAAUCGGAAUGCAGGGUGUAGCGGUGAAAUGCGUUGAUAUCCUGCAGAACACCGGAGGCGAAGGCGGAUUCCUUGAACACCACUGACGCUGAGGCGCGAAAGUCGGGGGAGCAAACAGGAUUAGAUACCCUGGUAGUCCCGACCUUAAACGGUGCACACGAGAGGUGGGGGGCAGACCCCCCCGUCCGUGAGCUAACGCGUUAAGCGUGCAGCCCGGGGAGUGCGGCCGCAAGGCUAAAACUCAAAGAAAUUGACGGGAGCCCCCACAACCAGAGGAGCAUGUGGCUUAAUUCGAUGCAACGCGAAGAACCUCCCCUGGGCUUGACAUGCGGCUGCGCGGGGGAUGAAAGUCCCCCUCCUUCGAGGGUGCCGCACAGGUGCUGCAUGGCCGUCGUCAGUUCGUGCCGUGAGGUGUUUGGUUAAGUCCACCAACGAACGCAACCCCUAUGACGUGUUGCCAGCGGGUAAUGCCGGGAACUCGCGUCACACUGCUCGUUUACGCGAGAGGAAGGUGGGGAUGACGUCAAGUCAGUAUGCCCCUUACGCCCAGGGCUGCACACGUGCUACAAUGGCAUGUACAGAGCGACGCGAGGCCGCAAGGCGGAGCAAAUCGCACAGAGCAUGCCUCAGUUCAGAUCGGGGUCUGCAACCCGACCCCGUGAAGUCGGAUUUGCUAGUAACGGCGCAUCAGCUACGACGCCGUGAAUGCGUUCCCGGCCCUUGUACUCACCGCCCGUCA